AGCCCAGACUCCUACGGGAGGCAGCAGUGGGGAAUAUUGCACAAUGGGGGAAACCCUGAUGCAGCGACGCCGCGUGAGCGAGGAAGUAUUUCGGUCUGUAAAGCUCUGUCAGCAGGGAAGAAGAAUGACGGUACCUGAGUAAGAAGCCCCGGCUAACUACGUGCCAGCAGCCGCGGUAAUACGUAGGGGGCAAGCGUUAUCCGGAUUUACUGGGUGUAAAGGGAGCGUAGACGGCGAUGCAAGUCUGAAGUGAAAGCCCGGGGCUCAACCCCGGGACUGCUUUGGAAACUGUAUGGCUGGAGUGCUGGAGAGGCAAGCGGAAUUCCUGGUGUAGCGGUGAAAUGCGUAGAUAUCAGGAGGAACACCGGUGGCGAAGGCGGCCUGCUGGACUGCAACUGACGUUGAGGCCCGAAAGCGUGGGGAGCAAACAGGAUUAGAUACCCUCGUA
rnacentral:rRNA from 1 species